AUUAUAAAUUGAGCCGUGUAAGGGGGGUGUUUUGAGUAAGAAUGAGGAAUUGAUUUUAGUAGCAUUAUGUAGGAAUUAAAUGGUUAAAUUUAAAGUUGUGUUAUUUUAUGGACAUAUUGCUAUCCUUGCUAAAUUGAAAGGAUUGAGGGUAUGAUUAUGUUCAUAUGAUUAUUGUUGUUGUUAUCAUGGGUUAUGUGAUGAGAAUGAAGGAAAUUAAUGGUUAGAAACUUUAUAGAGGUCGUGUGGGUGUGUGAAGAGGAGUGUGGCCGUGAGCCAUAGUAAUGAAAGAGAAUGGUGAAUUAAAAUUUAUUUAGCUUGUUAGAGGUGUCGUUGUGACAUUGAUGACGUAGAUAAAGGGUUAACGAGUUGAGUUGGUGUUGAAAUUGGUUGUAUGUUGUUAUGAGAAAUUAAGUGAUUUUUAUAUAAUUUUUAUGCAAUUAUGAAAGUAAGAUGCUAAAUGUGAACUAUGGUUGUUAUUAAUGAAUUUGGAAGAAAACAAUGCGAUUUGGUAGUUUCGUUGCAAUUGUAGAAGUUUCGAAUGGAAUAUGGAAAUGGGCGGAAUGGUUCGAAUCCUUGGAUAUUGUUUAAAAUGUUAUUGAAAUAUGUUUGGGUAAUCUUGAGUUAGUUGAUGAAUAUGGAAAAAAAAAAUGUUGAUAUUAGUUGGAUGGUGUGAAGUUAGAAUGGAAGAGUUACAUUAUGUGGAAAGGAAGGGAAAAUUUUUAGAUUGUUGGAAAUGUUGUAUGAAUUGCUUAGAAUGUCUUUAAGUAUUGUUGGUAUGGAUUCGGGUUAGUAUUUAAAUAUAUAUAAGCAUCGAUGUUGGCUUGAAGGUAAGUCGUCGAGUUGAAUUUAUGAAAGUUGUUGAAUGAUGUAAAAGAGAGUUACUAUUAUUAUUUUGCCUUUCGAAUUGGUUAUCAAUGUUACUAGGUUGGUUAUUGUGGUUGUUGUUGUUGAUUUUGAGCGAGAUAAAUUCUCGGGAUGGCCUAUUUACAGGGGAAGUGCUGCCGAAUUUUCUGUAGAAUUUAAUGAUUAGUUUGGAAUGAAUGGCUUAAGUGCCCUUAGCUAAUGAUUGGAUAUUCGUUGGCAUAUUUGUAGACCUUGGGGAGUCGGAGGCGUAGAUUGGGAUUUACUUUAGAUUGGCUAUCUUGGAGUGCGUACGAGGUACAGACGCACAGUUUGGUGAUCUACCCAUUUAGGACAUCCUCUUCUGCUGUUUGGAGUGCUCUUCUCAUUUCAGAGCACACAUUUUGGUAUACAUUUGUUCGCUAUGUAUAUAUGUAUUUGUUCAGGGGUACGGCGGGGCCCUGUCCCGCCAUAUGAUUCGGUUUGUCUGUUUAGAGGUCUGUAGACGUAUUUGUGGGUGUGUGUGCCUACUUCUGUACAGUUGUGUUUAUAUGAUUCUAUUCGUUAUGGCAGCCUUGUCGGCGUGCAUUCGUAUA